rnacentral:tmRNA from 6 species
GGGGAUGACAGGCAUCGACGGGAAAAUUGCACUUUUAUAAAUGGUGAGAGCGGACUUGUCCGUUAAACAGGAAAAAACAACUGAUAAAGAUAAUUUAUCAGCGGAGGAAGCUUACUUCUUGGCUUAUGGCAGGCGCGAGCUUGCUUUUGUUCAAACUGUAAACUAAAUCCCUCUCUUUGGGUUUUCUUCGAUUCAACCUAAAGAGGGAAAACCAAUCGGAGUAGGACGAAGAAAAUUUUUCGGUUAUAUUCGGAGUCGACAAAACAUAACCGGCGGUUUAAUGAGGUUUGUUUAUUUUCCAAUUUAAACACGAGACAAAAAUAAUCUAUCUCUCACUAAACGUUUUUAGAGGUGCUUUCUCGGACCCGGGUUCAACUCCCGGCAUCUCCACAC